rnacentral:misc_RNA from 1 species
GUUUGAUGGCUUGGUCAAUAAGGACGUUGACAUCUCUAAAGAAAUCUAUUCUCUAAGUGAGGUUGAUUUUGAUCGCCAGGAGUUACGUGGUCUUGUUAGGAAAGUACAAUCAAUACGUGAAAAAAGGAGCAAAUCAGACGAGGGGGAAGGAAAAGUAAACACUGAUGUUGUCCGUGCAGAAAGGUCUCUCACACGUUUCCUUCGAGACCUAGCGAAACAGCUUCACAGCUAAAUAGAAUAUCAGAUUCAUCUGUGAGAGUAUACUCCAUGCUGGCCAUCAUUAGAUCCUCAAAAAGUACAUUAAAAUGUAUUUGUAAUAUUUCCUAGUACAUGCAUGUACUAUCUGGAAG